rnacentral:rRNA from 1 species
AUGAAAACUUCUAUUUUCAGAUUCGAAAACAGUUGGUUUCAAAGGCCGAAUUUGGAUGAGAUAGUCAGGAAAGUGUGGGAAUCAAAAUUCCCUGGGAGCUCCAGUCUGGACAGGGUUCAUAACAAAAUGAAGGAGCUAAGGAAAGUAUUAAAAGGCUGGAAUUUGAAUAUUGAAGCAAUUUUUAGAAGAAAGAAAAAGGAAGCAUUGGAGGAGCUGGAUAGAUUAGACAAAAGGGAAGAAGAAGGAAAAAUAUGUGAUAAAGACAAGGAAGUAAAAAGGGAGUGCCAAGAGGCUCUGAAGGAAAUACUUAAAGAAGAAGAAAUCAAAUGGCUUCAGAGAUCGCAUGACACAGAGUUGUUGGAGGGAGAU